AUGAACGCUGGCGGCGUGCCUCACCCAUGCAAGUCGCGCGGCAGCGAGGGGUGCUUGCACCCUGUCGGCGAGCGGCGGACGGCUGAGUAACGCGUGGGAACGUGCCCCAAAGUGAGGAAUAACUGCCCGAAAGGGUAGCUAAUACCGCAUAUUAUCUUCGGAUCAAAGGAUUUAUCCGCUUUGGGAGCGGCUCGCGUCGGAUUAGGUAGUUGGUGAGGUAAUGGCUCACCAAGCCGACGAUCCGUAGCUGGUCUGAGAGGAUGACCAGCCAGACUGGAACUGAGACACGGUCCAGACUCCUACGGGAGGCAGCAGUGAGGAAUCUUCCACAAUGGGCGAAAGCCUGAUGGAGCAACGCCGCGUGCAGGACGAAGGCCUUCGGGUUGUAAACUGCUUUUAUAAGUGAGGAAUAUGACGGUAACUGAUGAAUAAGGAUCGGCUAACUACGUG
rnacentral:rRNA from 1 species